GCCAGGCGUGGUGGUGGGCGCCUGUAAUCCCAGCUACUCGGGAGGCUGAGGCAGGAGAAUCGCUUGAACCUGGGAUGCCGAGGUUGCAGUGAACCAAGAUAACGCCACUGCACUCUAGCCUGGGUGACAGAGUGAGACUCUGACUCAA
ensembl:misc_RNA Metazoa_SRP Metazoan signal recognition particle RNA